rnacentral:rRNA from 1 species
UACGGGGGGGGCAAGCGUUGUUCGGAAUUACUGGGCGUAAAGGGCGCGUAGGCGGCCAACUAAGUCGGAUGUGAAAUCCCCAGGCUUAACCUGGGAACUGCAUCCGAUACUGGAUGGCUUGAAUCCGGGAGAGGGAUGCAGAAUUCCAGGUGUAGCGGUGAAAUGCGUAGAUAUCUGGAGGAAUACCGGUGGCGAAGGCGGCAUCCUGGACCGGCAUUGACGCUGAGGAGCGAAAGCUAGGGGAGCAAACGGG